GGAAAAAGUGCUCGUUAUUUAAAAGUCGCAAUAAAAUUCGAGGCGUAAAAAUAAAUAAAUAAUAAAAAUAAAUUAAAAAAUACAUCUGACGACCAAGAAAAAUAGUGCAGUGAAGUGAAAAAUCGAUUUAAAAAAGUUUUUUUUUAAGAAGAAAGAAGAAAAACGAAGAAGUCAAGCCAAAAUAACAACAAAAAUAUUGUCUGUGCAUACAUACACAACAAAAAAGAGGCUGAGAAAAUUUUUGCAGACAUACACAUUGUAUACGAAAAAAAAGUUAAAAGAGAUAAAAUAAAGGACUAGACUUCCUUUUUUCUUCGUGCAAAUAUAAUAAAAAAAGAUAAAUUACUAGAAAAAAAGCGAAAAAAUGGCAUCCGUUGCACAAUCACAUUUACCAAUCGCCAAAAAUCAAAACAGAAAUCGCAGCAAUACAGAAGGAGAUAAUGACAGUGGCGUCGAUGAGUCUACACAAGAGAAGCAAGAAAGAAACGGUCACCACGCAGUGUCACCAGGAUCACCAAUAAAAUCCAAAAUUCCCGGGCUCCAAAGGCCACCAAACGGAAGUGUUACGCCACGUAACAAUCGGUCCCGAAGUACAUCCAAGCAACGAUUGUCUCUGCAUACGCCGGAAUCGCCACAAGAAAUGCCGUUGAUUAAGAAAGUCCCCAUGAACAAGAUCCAAGUCGGUUUCUCUCCGUCACCGAAUUUGAAGCAAGUCAAGUCCCGCAUUGGCUCCCUUGAGAACACCAGUCACAAGCCUGGAGGUGGAAAUGUCAAGAUUGAAAAUCGCAAAAUUGAGAUCAAAGCAGCGCCCAGAAUUGAAGCCAAGAACGAUAAAUACGUUCCAAAGGGAGGCGACAAAAAGAUUAUUAGCACGAAACUUCAGUGGAAUGCAAAGCCAAAAAUUGGCUCACUAGAAAAUGCACAUCACAAGCCGGGCGGUGGCGACAAGAAAAUCGAAGAGCAAAAGUUAGACUUUAAGGAUAAAGCGAAACCAAAAAUCGGAUCUCUCGAAAAUGCGCAACACGUUCCGAAGGGGGGAGAUGUCAAGCCAUUGAGUGCUGGUGCUGGACGUCUCAAUCCAGAUGGGACAAUUUUGAACCAAAAAAUCGAGAUUAAGGCACAAUCAAAAGUGGGAUCAUUGGAUAAUGUCAAGCACCGACCCGGUGGCGGCGACAAGAAAAUCUUCGACGACAAGGAGUAUCUGAGGAACGUCGAACAUCCGAUUCAGCCAACGCCUCCAUCUCAGGAUGAAUAUAUCUAUACUUUUUAUUAGCAACAACACCCUUUAGCGAUGUAAUAUUUUUAGUUAGUAGUAGAUUUUAUUGGUUCAAAAGGCUGUUAGCUGAUUUUGCUCACUUUAUGAGACUCUUACGUAAUUUAAGAUAAACUUAGCCCAUUACCAACCAGCCUCACAACAUCUAUAACUGCUGACGAAAAUUUGAAUGAAAAUUUAAACGAGCAGUCUUAAAUCUUAAUAUUACAAAUAUUAACGACACUUUUAUUAAUAAUGAUAAUAAUAGUAAUGAUGAAGCAAGUAAUAAUAAUAAAAGUAAUGAUGACACGCACUGUUGCAGUUUAAUAUUAAUUAAAAAGAAAAUUAUAUUGGAAAUCACGCAUCAUCAGCAUCAUUCAGCAAAUUGAUUUUUUUUAUUGUUUCUUAACAUCUAUGCAAAAAUUUAUAAAAUUAAAAAAAAAACAAUUGUAAUAAAUAUUUUAUU